GAAGCAUUUAGAGUCAGAGAAUUCAAGACUGCAGGAUGAGGUAUCACUUACAAAGCAGAAGCUUGAGGAAAGUGGAAAGAAGUUUGAAGCUCUUGAACUCGAACACAAGAAAUCGAAAGAGCAAAUUGUUGAAUCUGAAGAGAAAUAUAGUUCACAGCUCAACAGUUUGCAAGAAGCACUGCGAGCUCAAGAAGCGAAGAACAAGGAGUUGAUAGCGGUGAAAGAAGCAUUUGAUACUUUGACCAAUGAUUUUGAGAAUUCACGCAGGCAGAUUCAAGAGUUGGAACAAAAACUGAAGAUCUCUGGAGAUG
rnacentral:misc_RNA from 1 species